GACGAACGCUGGCGGCGUGCUUAACACAUGCAAGUCGAACGGAAAGGCCCUGCUUUUGUGGGGUGCUCGAGUGGCGAACGGGUGAGUAACACGUGAGUAACCUGCCCUUGGCUUUGGGAUAACUUCAGGAAACUGGGGCUAAUACCGGAUAGGAGCUCCUGCUGCAUGGUGGGGGUUGGAAAGUUUCGGCGGUUGGGGAUGGACUCGCGGCUUAUCAGCUUGUUGGUGGGGUAGUGGCUUACCAAGGCUUUGACGGGUAGCCGGCCUGAGAGGGUGACCGGCAACAUGGGGACUGAGACACGGCCCAGACCCCUACGGGGGGCAGCAGGGGGGAAUAUUGAACAAGGGGCGAAAGCUUGAGGCAGCAACGCCGCGUGGGGGAGGACGGCCUUCGGUUUGUAAACCGCUUCCGCCUGGGACGAAGCGGGAGUGACGGUAGUGGGAAAAGAAGCCCCGGCUAACUACGUC
rnacentral:rRNA from 1 species